rnacentral:rRNA from 1 species
CAGUCGAACGGAACUGUUUUGAAAGAUUUCUUCGGAAUGAAUUUGAUUUACUUUAGUGGCGGACGGGUGAGUAACGCGUGAGUAACCUGCCUUCAGGAGGGGGAUAACAUUCUGAAAAGAAUGCUAAUACCGCAUGACAUAUCGGAAUCACAUGGUUUUGAUAUCAAAGAUUUUAUCGCUUGAAGAUGGACUCGCGUCCGAUUAGUUAGUUGGUGAGGUAACGGCUCACCAAGACCGCGAUCGGUAGCCGGACUGAGAGGUUGAACGGCCACAUUGGGACUGAGACACGGCCCAGACUCCUACGGGAGGCAGCAGUGGGGGAUAUUGCGCAAUGGGGGCAACCCUGACGCAGCAACGCCGCGUGAAGGAUGAAGGUUUUCGGAUUGUAAACUUCUUUUAUUAAGGACGAAACUUGACGGUACUUAAUGAAUAAGCUCCGGCUAACUACGUGCCAGCAGCCGCGGUAAUACGUAGGGAGCAAGCGUUGUCCGGAUUUACUGGGUGUAAAGGGUGCGUAGGCGGCUUUACAAGUCAGAUGUGAAAUCUAUGGGCUCAACCCAUAAACUGCAUUUGAAACUGUAGAGCUUGAGUGAAGUAGAGGCAGGCGGAAUUCCCCGUGUAGCGGUGAAAUGCGUAGAGAUGGGGAGGAACACCAGUGGCGAAGGCGGCCUGCUGGGCUUUAACUGACGCUGAGGCACGAAAGCGUGGGUAGCAAACAGGAUUAGAUACCCUGGUAGUCCACGCUGUAAACGAUGAUUACUAGGUGUGGGGGGUCUGACCCCUUCCGUGCCGGAGUUAACACAAUAAGUAAUCCACCUGGGGAGUACG